rnacentral:rRNA from 1 species
UACGUAGGGACCAAGCGUUGUUCGGAUUUACUGGGCGUAAAGAGCUCGUAGGUGGUUUGUCGCGUUGUCCGUGAAAACUCACAGCUUAACUGUGGGCGUGCGGGCGAUACGGGCAGACUGGAGUACUGCAGGGGAGACUGGAAUUCCUGGUGUAGCGGUGGAAUGCGCAGAUAUCAGGAGGAACACCGGUGGCGAAGGCGAGUCUCUGGGCCGAUACUGACGCUGAGGAGCGAAAGCGUGGGGAGCAAACAGG